UGGGGAAUUUUGGGCAAUGGGCGAAAGCCUGACCCAGCAACGCCGCGUGUGGGAUGAAGGCCCUCGGGUCGUAAACCACUGUCAGGAGGAAAGAAAAGUCGGCCGGAUAAUACUCGGUCGACCUGACGGUACCUCCAAAGGAAGCACCGGCUAACUCCGUGCCAGCAGCCGCGGUAAUACGGAGGGUGCAAGCGUUGUUCGGAAUUACUGGGCGUAAAGCGCGUGUAGGUGGUCGAGUAAGUCGAAUGUGAAAGCCCCGGGCUCAACCCGGGAAGUGCAUCCGAAACUGCUCGACUAGAGUCCCGGAGAGGAAGGCAGAAUUCCCAAUGUAGGGGUGAAAUCCGUAGAUAUUGGGAGGAAUACCGGUGGCGAAGGCGGCCUUCUGGACGGUGACUGACACUCAGACGCGAAAGCGUGGGGAGCAAACAGGAUUAGAUACCCACGUAGUCCCUGAGCGGGCUGGCAAGGCGCAU
rnacentral:rRNA from 1 species